rnacentral:rRNA from 1 species
UUACUCCUACGGGAGGCAGCAGUGGGGAAUAUUGGACAAUGGGCGAAAGCCUGAUCCAGCCAUGCCGCGUGUGUGAAGAAGGUCUUCGGAUUGUAAAGCACUUUAAGUUGGGAGGAAGGGCAUUAACCUAAUACCUUGCUGUUUUGACGUUACCGACAGAAUAAGCACCGGCUAACUUCGUGCCAGCAGCCGCGGUAAUAA